rnacentral:misc_RNA from 1 species
GAUGAAGAACGUAGCGAAAUGCGAUAAGUAAUGUGAAUUGCAGAAUUCAGUGAAUCAUCGAAUCUUUGAACGCACAUUGCGCCCGCCAGCAUUCUGGCGGGCAUGCCUGUUCGAGCGUCAUUUCAACCCUCAAGCUCUGCUUGGUGUUGGGGCCCUACGGUUGACGUAGGCCCUUAAAGGUAGUGGCGGACCCUCUCGGAGCCUCCUUUGCGUAGUAACUAACGUCUCGCAUUGGGAUUCGGAGGGACUCUUGCCGUAAAACCCCCAAAUUUUCUAAUGGUUGACCUCGGAUCAGGUAGGAAUACCCGCUGAACUUAAGCAUAUCAAACGGAGGA